rnacentral:rRNA from 1 species
GAUGAACGCUGGCGGCGUGCUUAACACAUGCAAGUCGAACGGAAAGGCCUCUUUCGCGGGUUACUCCAGCGGCGAACGGGUGAGUAACACGUGAGUAACCUGCCCUUGACUUUGGGUUAAGUCCAGGAAACUGGGGUUAAUACCGGUCAGGAGCUCCUGCGGCAUGGUGGGGGCUGGAAAGCUCCGGCGGUUGGGGGUGGAUUGGCGGCUUAUCCGCUUUGGUGGGGGGCGGUGGCUUACCAAGGCUAUGCCGGGUAGGCGGCCUGGGAGAGUGAGCGGCCGCAUUGGGACUGAGAUACGGCCCAGACUGCUACGAGAGGCAGCAGUGGGGAAUAUUGCACAAUGGGUGGAGGCCUGGUGCAGCAACGCCGUGGGCGGGAUGGCGGCCUUCGGGUUGUGAACCGCUAUCGAUCAUGACGAAGCUUUGUGUGACGUUAGUGGGUAAAGAAGCACCGGCUAACUUCGUG